AUGCUCAUGCAAAGUAUCUUGGGAUUUGUCCCAGGAGGCUCUGCAAGCUGGCAUGGUUCUUACGUAAGACGGACUGGGAAGAAGAGGCACCGCACACACAAUAAAUGCUUGUGCAACCCGAUAACAUGGACAAGAUCCUUGGAACGAGAUUUGAAUCCCCUAAGCUUGGCCCCAUGUAAGCCACCCCGAGUCCCUUUGGGGAGACGGAGACAAGUGAAUCUGGCAUGGGCAGCUGACAUUGAUGUUCCAGUUGACAUUUCUGUAAAUGAAGAGGGAACCCCAAAGGAAAACAAUGCAUCUGAAACCAACCCCAUAGAAGAUUCAGGGUCAAAUCCAGAAUCUUCUACAGAAGAGGAACCUGCUGAUGGUGAUCCAGAAUCUUCUACAGAAGAGGAACCUGCUGAUGGUGCUGCACCCUCUUGUACAGAAGUGCAACCUUCUGAUGAUGAUCAAGACCCUUCUGCUGAUGAAGCACCUUCUGAUGAUGAUUGGGAGCAAGCAGGAAGUGACAAUGAGAGUAAUUAUAUUGUAAAUAAAAUUUGGGAUCUGAUACUGUCAAUGCUAUUUAAGAGGCCAUUUCUGAUAUAGUCCUUAUUCCUGAAGAGCGAAUAUCCACCUUCUUCUCUAGAAGCAUUGGAAAUUGAAGUUUGGUCAUGACAUUAAUGAAUUGAAAUAAAUAAAACAACCUACCCUUUCUCAGCAAUAAAU
rnacentral:lncRNA from 1 species